UACGAAGGGGGCUAGCGUUGCUCGGAAUCACUGGGCGUAAAGCGCACGUAGGCGGAUCUUUAAGUCAGGGGUGAAAUCCCAGAGCUCAACUCUGGAACUGCCUUUGAUACUGGGUGUCUUGAGUAUGGAAGAGGUGAGUGGAAUUCCGAGUGUAGAGGUGAAAUUCGUAGAUAUUCGGAGGAACACCAGUGGCGAAGGCGGCUCACUGGUCCAUUACUGACGCUGAGGUGCGAAAGCGUGGGGAGCAAACAGG
rnacentral:rRNA from 1 species